rnacentral:tRNA from 3 species
UAUCGUCUAGAGGCCUAGGACAUCGCCCUUUCACGGCGGUAACCGGGGUUCGAAUCCCCGUAGGGACGCCA